CAGCAGCUGGGAGUGAGGAGUGCGCCUAGCCGGCCAUGGGCAAGUCAGCUUCCAAACAGUUUCAUAAUGAGGUCCUGAAGGCCCACAAUGAGUACUGGCAGAAGCACGGCAUCCCCCCACUGAAGCUCUGCAAGAAGCUCAACCGGGAGGCUCAACAGUAUUCCGAGGCCCUGGCCAGUACAAGGAUCCUCAAGCACAGCCCAGAGUCCAGCCGCGGCCAGUGUGGGGAGAACCUUGCAUGGGCAUCCUAUGAUCAGGCAGGAAAGGAGGUGGCUGAUAGCUGGUACAGUGAAAUCAAGAACUACAACUUCCAGCAGCCUGGCUUCACCUUGGGGACUGGACACUUCACGGCCAUGGUAUGGAAGAACACAAAGAAGAUGGGAGUGGGGAAGGCAUCCGCAAGUGACGGGUCCUCCUUUGUGGUGGCCAGAUAUUUCCCAGCAGGGAAUGUUGUCAACCAGGGCUUCUUUGAAGAAAACGUCCUGCCACCAAAGAAGUAACUUGUCAAAUGUAAUGGAAAGGUGGCAGACUUAGGAACGUGGAUAUGAAGUGCCUAGAACAACCAAAACCUGGCUGUGCGUCUGCCCCGGUGGGAGUAUGUGCUUGUGUGUAUGAUGCAUGUGAGCGUCUCUGGUAUAUACACUUGGACAUACAGGUCUAUGUGAGCUCAUUCU